rnacentral:rRNA from 1 species
CCUACGGGAGGCAGCAGUGGGGAAUAUUGGACAAUGGGCGAAAGCCUGAUCCAGCCAUGCCGCGUGUGUGAAGAAGGCCUUUUGGUUGUAAAGCACUUUAAGCGAGGAGGAGGCUACCGAGAUUAAUACUCUUGGAUAGUGGACGUUACUCGCAGAAUAAGCACCGGCUAACUCUGUGCCAGCAGCCGCGGUAAUACAGAGGGUGCGAGCGUUAAUCGGAUUUACUGGGCGUAAAGCGUGCGUAGGCGGCUUUUUAAGUCGGAUGUGAAAUCCCUGAGCUUAACUUAGGAAUUGCAUUCGAUACUGGGAAGCUAGAGUAUGGGAGAGGAUGGUAGAAUUCCAGGUGUAGCGGUGAAAUGCGUAGAGAUCUGGAGGAAUACCGAUGGCGAAGGCAGCCAUCUGGCCUAAUACUGACGCUGAGGUACGAAAGCAUGGGGAGCAAACAGGAUUAGAUACCCUGGUAGUCCAUGCCGUAAACGAUGUCUACUAGCCGUUGGGGCCUUUGAGGCUUUAGUGGCGCAGCUAACGCGAUAAGUAGACCGCCUGGGGAGUACGGUCGCAAGACUAAAACUCAAAUGAAUUGACGGGG